GACGAACGCUGGCGGCGUGCUUAACACAUGCAAGUCGAACGAAGAGCGAUGGAAGCUUGCUUCUAUCCAUCUUAGUGGCGAACGGGUGAGUAACGCGUAAUCAACCUGCCCUUCAGAGGGGGACAACAGUUGGAAACGACUGCUAAUACCGCAUACGAUCUAACCUCGGCAUCGAGGAUAGAUGAACGGUGGCCUCUACAUGUAAGCUAUCACUGAAGGAGGGGAUUGCGUCUGAUUAGCUAGUUGGCGGGGUAACGGCCCACCAAGGCGAUGAUCAGUAGCCGGUCUGAGAGGAUGAACGGCCACAUUGGGACUGAGACACGGCCCAGACUCCUACGGGAGGCAGCAGUGGGGAAUCUUCCGCAAUGGACGAAAGUCUGACGGAGCAACGCCGCGUGAGGGAUGACGGCCUUCGGGUUGGAAAGCUCUGUUAAUCGGGACGAAAGGCCUUCUUGCGAAUAGUGAGAAGGAUUGACGGUACCGGAAAAGAAAGCCACGGCUAACUACGUG
rnacentral:rRNA from 1 species